rnacentral:ncRNA from 1 species
AUUUUGGGACAAUGCGAGACUGGGAGUCCUCACCCAAGCACAUUUAGUGGCUGCGCUUGGCUGAGGGGCCAAUGGUGCGAAGCUGCCAUCUGUGGGAUUUUGACUGAACGCUUCUAAGUCAGAAUCCCC